UCGAGCGGAAGGCCCUUCGGGGUACUCGAGCGGCGAACGGGUGAGUAACACGUGAGCAACCUGCCCCAAGCUUUGGGAUAACCCUCGGAAACGGGGGCUAAUACCGAAUAUUACUUCUGGCCGCAUGGCUGGUGGUGGAAAGUUUUUCGGCUUGGGAUGGGCUCGCGGCCUAUCAGCUUGUUGGUGGGGUGAUGGCCUACCAAGGCGACGACGGGUAGCCGGCCUGAGAGGGCGACCGGCCACACUGGGACUGAGACACGGCCCAGACUCCUACGGGAGGCAGCAGUGGGGAAUAUUGCACAAUGGGCGGAAGCCUGAUGCAGCGACGCCGCGUGAGGGAUGACGGCCUUCGGGUUGUAAACCUCUUUCAGCAGGGACGAAGCGAGAGUGACGGUACCUGCAGAAGAAGCACCGGCCAACUACGUGCCAGCAGCCGCGGUAAGACGUAGGGUGCGAGCGUUGUCCGGAUUUAUUGGGCGUAAAGAGCUCGUAGGCGGCUUGUCGCGUCGACCGUGAAAACUUGGGGCUCAACCCCAAGCCUGCGGUCGAUACGGGCAGGCUAGAGUUCGGUAGGGGAGACUGGAAUUCCUGGUGUAGCGGUGAAAUGCGCAGAUAUCAGGAGGAACACCGGUGGCGAAGGCGGGUCUCUGGGCCGAUACUGACGCUGAGG
rnacentral:rRNA from 1 species